rnacentral:misc_RNA from 1 species
UCCGUGUUAACCACGGCAGUCUCGCGUGAAAAGCAACACGCAAUAAGGGUUGCGCUCGUUACCCCACUGAAGGGAACAUCUUACGACACGAGCUGACGACAACCGUGCAGCACCUGUUCAGCACCCUCGUAGGCUACCAAAGUUUCCUAAGGUAUGCAGCUGAAUUUCAAGCCCUGGUAAGGUUCCUCGCUUACCAUCGAAUUAAACCACACGCUCCACCGCUUGUGCGGGCCCCCGUCUAUUCCUUUGAGUUUUAGCCUUGCGGCCGUACUACCCAGGCGGUUCAUUUAACGCGUUAGCUACGACACUGAGAGGGUCGAUACUCCCAAUGCCUAAUGAACAUCGUUUACGGCGUAGAUUA